rnacentral:rRNA from 1 species
AACGCGAAGAACCUUACCUGGGCUCGAAAUGUAGUGGACCGGGGUAGAAAUAUCCCUUCCUAGCAAUAGGCUGCUAUAUAGGUGCUGCAUGGCUGUCGUCAGCUCGUGUCGUGAGAUGUUGGGUUAAGUCCCGCAACGAGCGCAACCCUUAUUACCAGUUGCUACCAUUUAGUUGAGCACUCUGGUGAGACCGCCUCGGAUAACGGGGAGGAAGGCGGGGAUGACGUCAAGUCCUCAUGGCCUUUAUGUCCAGGGCUACACACGUGCUACAAUGGCCGGUACAAACCGUCGCAAACCCGUGAGGGGGAGCUAAUCGGAAAAAGCCGGCCUCAGUUCGGAUUGGAGUCUGCAACUCGACUCCAUGAAGCUGGAAUCGCUAGUAAUCGCAGAUCAGAACGCUGCGGUGAAUACGUUCCCGGGCCUUGUA